UAAAAGAUUUUAAUAUCAGGACUGACAAUGU
rnacentral:piRNA from 1 species